AAAGCAGAUCUCACAUACUUUU
rnacentral:snRNA from 1 species